rnacentral:rRNA from 1 species
AUUGAACGCUGGCGGCAGGCCUAACACAUGCAAGUCGAACGGUAACAGGGAUCAGCUAGCUGAUUCGCGGACGAGUGGCGGGCGGGUGAGUAAUGUCUGGGAAACUGCCUGAUGGAGGGGGAAAACUACUGGAAACGGUAGCUAAAACCGCAUAACGUCGCAAGACCAAAGAGGGGGACCUUCGGGCCUCCUGCCAUCGGCUGUGCCCAGAUGGGAUUAGCUAGUAGGUGGGGUAACGGCUCACCUAGGCGACGAUCCCUAGCUGGUCUGAGAGGAUGACCAGCCACACUGGAACUGAGACACGGUCCAGACUCCUACGGGAGGCAGCAGUAGGGAAUAUUGCACAAUGGGCGAAAGCCUGAUGCAGCCAUGCCGCGUGUAUGAAGAAGGCCUUCGGGUUGUAAAGUACUUUCAGCGGGGAGGAAGGGAGUAAAGUUAAUACCUUUGCUCAUUGACGUUACCCGCAGAAGAAGCACCGGCUAACUCCGUG